rfam:Desulfovibrio alaskensis G20, complete genome.
CGAGAAUCAAGCCAACCCGCCUCAGGCGGGACGGAAAGCCACGGGUCUUUCAGACAGCCGGGUUGCCUCG